AGGAGUUCCUCUUCAAGAUGGAUAAACAGAGCAUGGACACCACAAACCUUGUUCUAGAGUUCAAGAAGUCCAUGGGCUUCAGACAGAAAAAUUUGCUAUUGGGAGAUCUGAAGUUUGGUGGAGAGGUGGAAGGAACAGGCAGGUUACAUUGGAGAAGAGCUCUCGCACAUCCAGGAGAGAGAACCUUCCUAUCCCACUCAAUCUUCUUCAAUCCUUCCUAACCCAUUCCAUCUUUUUCAAUCCUUCCUAACUAAUACCAUAUUCUUGAAUCCUUCCUAACCCAUUUAAUCUUUUCUAAACCUUCCUUCUAACCCAUUCCAUCUUCUUCAGUCUUUCCUACCCACUUAAUCUUCUUCAAUCUUUUCUAACUCACUCAAUCUUUUUAAUCCUUCCCAACCCAUUCAAUCUUUUUAAAUCCUUCCUAACCCAUUCCAUCUUCUCCAAUACUUCCUAACCCAUUCCAUCUUUUUCAAUUCUUCCUAACCCAUACCAUAUUCUUCAAUCCUUCCUAACCCAUUCCAUCUUCUUCAAUCCUUCCUAACCCAUUCCAUCUUCUUUAACCCUUCCUAACCCAUUCAAUCUUCUUUAACCCUUCCUAACCCAUUCUAAAAUUGUUUUUCUUUCUUUUCUUAAAAACAAUCUAAAUACUCAAUUUAUUUUUUCAUACCCGUCCUAAACAAGCUCCUAAAUCAGCUCUUUCCAAAUUCCAAUUUACUUUCUAUGGAGAAUCCCCAAAAAAGUUGUUUUUUCAUUACUAUUUAUCUUUUCAUGAUAUUUUGUUUUCUUUUCUUCGGGGAGAUCAUGUGUCAUAGAAUAAAAUACAAUUUUAAGAUUCCAGGAACUGUCCCUUUCUAGUGAUUGUAUCGUGCUUUUCUUAAAGGGACUGUAUGCGUGAUUUUAAGGCAUCCUCUAGUUAAAGGGACUGUAUGCGUGAUUUUAAGGCAUCCUCCAGUUAAAGAGGGGAAUGCCCAAAUUACAUCGAUACCCUUUAAACCUUGGACUGAUCAUCGCAUCCGUGUGUGCAUGGUGUUCAAAUUGCAGUAAACCUAGAGUGUAGACUAGCGUACGUUGGGAACAAAACGUUGAACUCAAAUUGUGAACUAUUGUGAAUCGGAAACAUCACUUUACAAAUGGAGGGUCCCUUAAAAUUACACCUAUAAAGAUUCCGUGCACUACCCCUUUCUACUCUAGCAUCCAGAUUGUCUUGUGCUCUGUAAAAUUAACAACUUUUUAUUUAUGUUUUCUAAUGAGAAGAAGUUUAAUUGUUCGGAGAAAAAAAUUCAAAAUUUUUGUUUGUAAACAAUUGUAAGAAAUAACAAGCUAAAAAAUAAAGUUUAUACAAUA